rnacentral:rRNA from 1 species
UACAGAGGGGCUAGCGUUGUUCGGAAUUACUGGGCGUAAAGCGCACGUAGGCGGCUUUGUAAGUUAGAGGUGAAAGCCCAGGGCUUAACCCUGGAAUUGCCUUUAAGACUGCAUCGCUAGAAUCGUGGAGAGGUGAGUGGAAUUCCGAGUGUAGAGGUGAAAUUCGUAGAUAUUCGGAAGAACACCAGUGGCGAAGGCGACUCACUGGACACGUAUUGACGCUGAGGUGGCGAAAGCGUGGGGAGCAACAGG